UACGUAGGGUGCAAGCGUUGUCCGGAAUUAUUGGGCGUAAAGAGCUCGUAGGCGGCUCGUCGCGUCGGCUGUGAAAACCUGGGGCUCAACCCCGGGCCUGCAGCCGAUACGGGCGAGCUAGAAUUCGGUAGGGGAGACUGGAAUUCCUGGUGUAGCGGUGAAAUGCGCAGAUAUCAGGAGGAACACCGGUGGCGAAGGCGGGUCUCUGGGCCGAUAUUGACGCUGAGGAGCGAAAGCAUGGGGAGCGAACAGG
rnacentral:rRNA from 1 species